rnacentral:misc_RNA from 1 species
GAUGAAGAACGUAGCGAAAUGCGAUAAGUAAUGUGAAUUGCAGAAUUCCGUGAAUCAUCGAAUCUUUGAACGCACAUUGCGCCCCCUGGCAUUCCGGGGGGCAUGCCUGUCCGAGCGUCAUUUCUGUCCUCCAGCCCGGCUGGGUGUUGGGCGCUGUCCCCCCGGGGACACGCCCCAAAGGCAGUGGCGGCGCCGCGUCGGGUCCUCGAGCGUAUGGGGCUUUGUCACCCGCUCGGGACGGACUCGUCGGCGCUGGUCUUCCUCCAGGCGACCCUUCGGGGCUCGUCUUCCUUCGGUUGACCUCGGAUCAGGUAGGGUUACCCGCUGAACUUAAGCAUAUCAAUAAGCGGAGGA